UCCACAUCUGACCAACCUUUCCACUGUGCCUGCAACCUGGUCAGAGAAGAAGCUCCAACUUCCAAGGUUUUAUCUGUGCAGCACUUCUCUGAGGAUGGAAACUUCUCAUGCUACAAAGUCCUGUGUGCUGUUUCUUCUUGUGGCCCUAGUCUGUGCAGAAAGAGCUCAGGGACUGCAGUGCCACCAGUGCUAUGGAGUCCCAUUUGAGACUUCUUGCCCAGCAAGCCCCUGCCCCUACCCUGAUGGAUUCUGUAUUACUCAGGAGGCAGAAGUUGCU